rnacentral:precursor_RNA from 1 species
UGAGGUAGUAGGUUGUAUAGUACUGCAUUACACCACUUAGGAGAGACUGUACGGCCUACUAACUUUCC